UCUCAAGGCCUGGGAAAGCGGUGGCGCCAGAGACAAGUCCGGCCCCUGGCUCCCAGGCGAGGCCCAAAGGCGCGCACACUCCGAGACCAGGGCGGUGGCACUCCGAAGAGGGAGGGAGGAAGAGGGCGGAAACGGGGAAAACUGGGGAACACACCCACAAGCCGGGGACCCAAGGGGACCCGCUGGGUGGCUAAGGCAGGGGUGCCCACGCUGUGCGCGACGCCUGGGCCACGGCCGGAGCCCACCAGCUAGGCGCACGGGUGAGCGACACAGCCGCUGCCUUCACGAAGCCUGGCAGGCAGCGCAGAGCCCCCGGCCGCUGGUUUUCCCUGGCGGACACGUGACAGCGUUGGCAGCGCUCCGGAGGAGGGGGAAGCGGCGAGCGGGAGGCUGGGGCUGGCGGGCGACUACCGCGCUGUGUACUUAGGUCGUGUGCUGGGGCUUUUCUCUCUCCGGAGCCGGUGGGAGGAGGGGGAGGGGCCACCGCUCCGCCUUCUCCUUUUCGCAAUGUUGACGCAAUCUAUAAAUAGUGGAACAAAAGGACCAACUUCCUCGGAGCUUUGCUGAAACUGCACAAAAAAAUCGAGCUGGGGGGUUCCCUGGUCCCUGGCGACUGGGCUGGGAGCGCGGCGCCGGGGGAGGGGGCGGGCGCAGCGCGGCCGCGCCGCCAAGGGGACACCUAGCCGAGGCGCCGCUGCCGCCGCGCCACUCCGUGCGAACCCAGGGCUCCAGUCCCUGCGCGGGCUCGGAAACUCGCCCUGGCCAGGGGUCUUCCUCCCCCACCGAUGACAGGUUUAUAACGAUAAAAUGAAGACCAUGAUAAAACAGCCUCGUACUUAGUUCAUCAGUUCUUACCUUGCAUAUAUUUUGACACCUAAGGCACAUGAAGGAAGGAUUGAGAUUGGAAGCUACAGACAUUGUCUGUUCUGAGCAGUUUCUGACAAUAGACCACUGUAGCAAAGGGCAAUAAAUGCCACUGAGAUAUCCCUCAACACAAAUCUUUACAUCUAAUCUACAUGUCUGAUCUACUGACUUCUGUCUUUUCAUGACUAAAUUAUGGAGGUAAGUAAAGAUUUAAUAUCAAUCAUAGUCAUGUAACCUUCAUUCUGAACUUAUAUUCCUUUAAUGUUUUUUAAAUUACUAAGCACUCUUGUAGCAUUGUAUUUUUUAUUAGCAAGUUAUGUAUAUUCGUUUUAGGUGGGCUGUUGUACUGAUUAGAUGUAUACUUUUGUGUAACUUUCAACUAGUUAGUAUUUCUAUAUACAUCAAUAUUUUCAUCUCAUUUUGUAAUCACCCAAGAAAACAUCUAAUAGAAAAAUGCUCUGUAGUCUUUACUUGAAUCAAGUCUUUCAGACUUUUUACAUAAAGUAUCCUCAUCCAUCUUUGAAUCUACUAUAAUUCUUGUUUUUAGUGCCUGUUCACUGAUAAUGUAGCAUUCCGAAUUUUUCAGUUCAGUUCAGUUUGGACUGUUGUAUGUCCAGCACUGUGGGGGAAAUAAAGCACAGUCCCAAUCCUCAUCUUAAAAGAAUUUGUGGAACCUCAGACAUUGCAGCCAGAAUUUCUCGGGGUCUCUUUUUACAAGAAGGGUAAGACAAACCUAUCCUGUUUGGCUUCCAUCUUGGGAACCCAAAGGUAUUCCAAAUUUUUACCAGAGUGUGAAAAUGGAGAAUAACAUGAAAUAGAAACACUGAAUAUUUGGUAUGUUUAACUCAACUGAGAGGAAAAAGCCUCUUUAAAGUAAUGUUUUCUGGUUUUGAGGUACUGAUAUGAAAUCUGCAGGUGCAGAAUGCUGCCUACCUAAAAGCUCUCUCUGGUUAGACAAGUCUUAGGCACAUUUUAGCUUUGGGAACAUAGUCUUAUUUAUUUUGCUGCAUGUUAUUGCUUUUUUGUUCUAUGUCAUGCUUACUACUCAUUUCCCAUGUAAGGUGUUAGCUUUUUAUCCAUUUAAAGACAUGUGGUUGGAUCUAUCUCAUAGUUUAGAUAAAUACUAAGGCAUUUUCUAAGCUCAAUAAUUAUGAGAUGCUGAGAUUUUUGGCAAAAUUUGUACAGAACUUUUCUUCUCUAGUAGGUCCACUAGAAGGCCAAAUAAUUCUUUAGGUGUAGUUCUGUGGCAAAGCUGGUAAUUAUGUUUUGUUUAAAACACUAAGUUUGAUGUCACAUUACUCUCUUUGAUGGCUUCUUUGGCUCCAGAAAGGUAAUAAAAAUUCCUAAAUUUAAAAAAAAAAUUUCCUUAGUGGCUCUACAUUGCUAAAUUUGCUGUUACAGAAUCAACUUCCCCAACACAGGAAAAAUAACAGUAGCAUAUGGGAGAUUUAGAGGGCUCUUACCAAGUCAUUUAUUAUCCCCCCAGCAAGGUCUCUGGUGAUGUGACCAUUUCUAUUAUUUAUGAUAGAGAAUCAAUACAAAAGCUUACAAAGCGAAGCUGAAGUUUGUCAGAUGAAAACAGUAUACAAGACAAAUUAGAAACAGCAAUUAUUCCCUAAGCCAUGUAUUUCUCGAGUUGCUUUCCCUUGACCAUUUUAUAUUAUUUUGGGCUCCUGAUUUUAGAUAUAUUUUCAAAGCAGCUCAAAUUAAUUCUGAACUCUUUCUAAUUAUGACAUAUAUUAAAUCCAAGAGUAAAAUUCAACACUAGAGCUUCUUUUCAGAAAAUCUUUGUAGGGAAAACUUCCAAUUGCUUAUAAGGUAAAUUAAGGAGAUUCAAGAAUAAGCUAAAAUCUUUAGUGCCUUAUCAGAAAUGAAACUGGGUGAUGGAAAAAAGCUGAAACAAAAGAGAAGUGGGAUAAUAAGGGAGGCCCGACUAUUGAUGGUACAGUUAAGACUGACAAACAUUAACAUGUCAUUGUGAUGAGUCAUACUUGUGUAUAUGAGAUGGAUUGAUAUGUGUAUAUG